AACAUCGCCUCCUGCAAAAAUCAAUGUAUAGGAGGUCCUGCCUGCCCAGUGACAACUUGUUAAACGGCCGCGGUAUUUUGACCGUGCUAAGGUAGCGCAAUCACUUGUCUUUUAAAUGAAGACCUGUAUGAAUGGUGGAACGAGGGCUUAACUGUCUCCCUUCUCCCGUCAAUGAAAUUGAUCUGCCCGUGCAGAAGCGGGCAUAUAUAUACAAGACGAGAAGACCCUUUGGAGCUUAUUGGGGCGACCGCGGGGGAAAACAAAGCCCCCACGUAAAACCGAGAGAGACAUCUCUAAGCCACAGAACAUCUGACCAAAAGAUCCGGCCUACAAGCCGAUCAACGAACCAAGUUACCCUAGGGAUAACAGCGCAAUCCUUUCCAAGAGUUCAUAUCGACGAGAGGGUUUACGACCUCGAUGUUGGAUCAGGACAUCCUAAUGGUGCAGCCGCUAUUAAGGGUUCGUUUGUUCAACGAUUAAAGUCCUACGUGAU
rnacentral:rRNA from 1 species